GGCCUCGGGGGGCAGCAGUAGGGAAUCUUCCACGAUGGACGAAAGUCUGAUGGAGCAACGCCGCGUGAGUGAAGAAGGGUUUCGGCUCGUAAAGCUCUGUUGGUAGUGAAGAAAGAUAGAGGUAGUAAUUGGCCUUUAUUUGACGGUAGUUACUUAGAAAGUCACGGCUAACUAAGUGCCAGCAGCCGCGGUAAUAAGUAGGUGGGAAGCGUUGUCCGGAUUUAUUGGGCGUAAAGCGAGUGCAGGCGGGU
rnacentral:rRNA from 1 species